rnacentral:rRNA from 1 species
AGUGAACGCUGGCGGUAGGCCUAACACAUGCAAGUCGAACGGCAGCACAGGAGAGCUUGCUCUCUGGGUGGCGAGUGGCGGACGGGUGAGGAAUACAUCGGAAUCUACUUUUUCGUGGGGGAUAACGUAGGGAAACUUACGCUAAUACCGCAUACGACCUACGGGUGAAAGCAGGGGACCUUCGGGCCUUGCGCGAUUGAAUGAGCCGAUGUCGGAUUAGCUAGUUGGCGGGGUAAAGGCCCACCAAGGCGACGAUCCGUAGCUGGUCUGAGAGGAUGAUCAGCCACACUGGAACUGAGACACGGUCCAGACGCCUACGGGAGGCAGCAGUGGGGAAUAUUGGACAAUGGGCGCAAGCCUGAUCCAGCCAUACCGCGUGGGUGAAGAAGGCCUUCGUGUUGUAAAGCCCUUUUGUUGGGAAAGAAAUCCAGCUGGCUAAUACCCGGUUGGGAUGACGGUACCCAAAGAAUAAGCACCGGCUAACUUCGUGCCAGCCGCCGCGGUAA